rnacentral:misc_RNA from 1 species
UUCACUGAUAAAGUGGAGAACCGCUUCACCAAAAGCUGUCCCUUAGGGGAUUAGAACUUGAGUGAAGGUGGGCUGCUUGCAUCAGCCUAAUGUCGAGAAGUGCUUUCUUCGGAAAGUAACCCUCGAAACAAAUUCAUUUGAAAGAAUGAAGGAAUGCAACGGAAAUUAGGUGCGCUUGGC